rnacentral:rRNA from 1 species
ACACGACUACAUUAGAUACCCCCGUAGUCCAGGGUGUAAACGCUGCGGGCUUGGUGUUGGGGGUCCUUUGAGGGCGCCCAGUGCCGGAGAGAAGUUGUUAAGCCUGCCGCCUGGGAAGUACGGUCGCAAGGCUGAAACUUAAAGGAAUUGGCGGGGGAGCACCACAACGGGUGGAGCGUGCGGUUUAAUUGGAUUCAACACCGUAAAACUCACCAGGGAAGACUGUUACAUGAAAGCCGAGAUGAAGACUCUGCUAGAUUUUCAG